GUGUCGGCGUAGUCGAGUGGUUACUUCGUAACUAUUUAACAGUACAUAUUUUCAAAUUGAUUGAGAUAUAACGGGUCGAAUCCCGUAGAAACCACUGACGCUUUCCAGCACUUUU
rnacentral:vault_RNA from 1 species